GACGAACGCUGGCGGCGUGCUUAACACAUGCAAGUCGAACGGAAAGGCUUCUUUCGGGGGGUACUCGAGUGGCGAACGGGUGAGUAACACGUGAGUAACCUGCCCUUGACUUUGGGAUAACUUCAGGAAACUGGGGCUAAUACCGGAUAGGAGCUCCUGCUGCAUGGUGGGGGUUGGAAAGUUUCGGCGGUUGGGGAUGGACUCGCGGCUUAUCAGCUUGUUGGUGGGGUAGUGGCUUACCAAGGCUUUGACGGGUAGCCGGCCUGAGAGGGUGACCGGCCACAUUGGGACUGAGAUACGGCCCAGACUCCUACGGGAGGCAGCAGUGGGGAAUAUUGCACAAUGGGCGGAAGCCUGAUGCAGCAACGCCGCGUGCGGGAUGACGGCCUUCGGGUUGUAAACCGCUUUCGCCUGUGACGAAGCGUGAGUGACGGUAAUGGGUAAAGAAGCACCGGCUAACUACGUG
rnacentral:rRNA from 1 species